AUUGAACGCUGGCGGCAGGCCUAACACAUGCCAGUCGAGCGGAUGAAGGGAGCUUGCUCCUGGAUUCAGCGGCGGACGGGUGAGUAAUGCCUAGGAAUCUGCCUGGUAGUGGGGGAUAACGUCCGGAAACGGGCGCUAAUACCGCAUACGUCCUGAGGGAGAAAGUGGGGGAUCUUCGGACCUCACGCUAUCAGAUGAGCCUAGGCCGGAUUAGCUAGUUGGUGGGGUAAAGGCCUACCAAGGCGACGAUCCGUAACUGGUCUGAGAGGAUGAUCAGUCACACUGGAACUGAGACACGGUCCAGACUCCUACGGGAGGCAGCAGUGGGGAAUAUUGGACAAUGGGCGAAAGCCUGAUCCAGCCAUGCCGCGUGUGUGAAGAAGGUCUUCGGAUUGUAAAGCACUUUAAGUUGGGAGGAAGGGCAGUAAGUUAAUACCUUGCUGUUUUGACGUUACCAACAGAAUAAGCACCGGCUAACUUCGUG
rnacentral:rRNA from 1 species